UCACCCACUCAUAAAAUUGUUCUGUUUCGUUUCACUUUUCCUCAAAGGAGAGGAAAAAAAGGAAUUCCCUCACAAAAAAUAACCAAUUUUAUAUUCAUCAUCCCGAAAAAAAAAAAUAAAAAAAACGCUAGGAACGAGCCUAGGUUUUCUUCUCUACGAAACAAAUCAUCAUUAACGAUUCAAGUGAUUAUACAUAAAGCUACAAGAUAUAGAUGAGGUUGGUGGCGCUGUUUAGAAAUUCGGGUCGUGCAUACAGAUUUGGUUGUUGCAAACUUGCUUCAUAAGCGAAACUAAAAUCUUGGGGUUUGCCAAGAGAUAAAUAAACCCUAAACUAAAAUAUCCUAUUUCCUCUGAUUUGAUUGUGGUCGCUCUAAUUCUCAGUUGGACACUAAUUAACCGAACCAAGAGACAUGCUUGCUGUUGCAAACAUGGUGGAGUUUUUCUUAGCUGAUCAGUUUAGGGUUAUUUGAAACUGAGAAAAAGACUAAAGUCAAAUUGGAUGAAAGAGUAAAAAUAACAUUUUCACUCGAAAGUUUCUUUUGAAGUAAACUGAACAAUAUAUGCUAUGGUUGAUGGUCAAUGUAGUUUUUGCUUAGUGAUUGUGAAUUUUUAUAUUGAGUUGGUGGAGUGGACUUACCAUCUGAUUUUUUGGUGCAUGUUGUGAUAAACAAGAUGCAAGAUGAUAGACGAGAUGCAUCCUGGCGGAAAAUCUAAAAGAAAUGGUUGGCAAACUGAAUCACUAAAGGUUGGACUGGAAGAAAUAUAAUAGACAAGUCGAGAGAAGAAAAAGAAAAAAAUGUGGUUUGGAAAGGGUAUGCUUUACAAUGGUGCAAAUAUCUAUUCACUAGAAAUCAACAGCAUAAGGUACUUUAACGAACUCAGUAAAACUAUUUCAAGAAAACAAGCAACAUAAUCAACAGCGAUAAAAGGUGAUCUGAUCAAAGUAAUUUGAGGGACAAAUGAGCAGGCCACAAAUGCAUCAAAGGAGAUGAACAAGGCACAAUUGGGCACAAUGAUCAAAUUUGGAGGCUACUCAUCAGGGGUAAAGCCAUGGAAGAUUAUGGAUAUGGGCAUAUUGGACAUUACGCCGUGUACUCUUUUUUCUUAGCCAAGGUUUUAUCCCACUGGGUUUUCCUUGUCAACGUUUUAAUGAGGCAUGCGAGUCCACUACUAUCCGCAGUUCGACGUGUUGUACUCUUUUUUCCUUCGUCCUGGUUUUUAUCCCUCUGGGUUUUCUUGGGCAAGGUUUUAACGAGGCAAUAUCUGCAAAUCUAUCAUUGUUAUGAGAACUCAUGUUUUUCUACGUUCAGGUUUUGUCCCUCUGGGUUUUUCCUGACGAGGUUUUUAAUGAGAUAACAAUCUUAGAACGGUGAUCACCAUCUAACGAGAUGCAUAUCCAUAGAGGUUCUUGAGAUGCGGCGCCCAGAUUUUGUCCUAAAUGAUUUUCCUGAUGUUGUUUCAACAACGAAGAAAGCUCGUGACUACCAUCACCAGUACUUUAAAAGCCGUCAGUUUUUGUCAUAUCAUAUUUUUCUGGCAAAGUUUUAACGAGGCAAUAUUUCUGAACGGUGGAUCAUUCAAGGGGGAGUGUUACAUAAAGAUUGGCUAGAUGGCUAUCCAUCGGGCAACACAUUUACUUGUGGGACCCACAAAAUUAGCAAGGAAAAGACACCUACACAUUGACGUGUGUCAAGUAGUGGAAUACUUAUCCCUAAUCAUAGUCGGCUAAUUCUCCUCAACGCUUGUACUUCGUCUAUAUAUAUAUAUAUAUUUGUACU